ensembl:lncRNA
AUGGAAAAGAAUCAAACAUGUGGGGUGAAAAGCUGGCGUAAUCAUUUAAACCCUUCUGCCUCCAGCGCCACGUUUCGCCGCCUGAAGGGAGGUCGGCGGCUGGAGGACUGCUCCGCGUGCCCGGCUGGCUAUUUCUGUCCCCACUCAGCCACUGUCAACCCCAGAGUGUGCGGCGCAGGCAGCUACUCCGACGGAGGCUCUGUGGAGUGUUCUCCGUGCUUGCAGGGCCAUUACUGCAGCAAUGAAACCACUAGUGAGGAAGCCAUGUUGAGCAUCAUGGUGUGCCCCCCCGGCUUUCUGUGUUCCCAAGGUCUGUCCAGGGACCCCCAGCGCUCGGCCACCCUCUGUCCUCGCGGCUUCUACUGCCCUGGCGGAGAUAUUGAUCCCAACCCAAUUCCUUGUCCUAACGGCAGCUACGGUGAACGUCCUGGUCUUCGUGACGUGAGUGAGUGCGUCCAGUGUCCUGAGGGGAGCUACUGUUACUCCGAUCAGCCUCAGGAGGAGCCCAUUACCAGGCCUACAGGGGUCUGUCCUGAUGGACACUAUUGCCCCCUGGGGACAGGCUACCCUUACGCCUACCCCUGCAAGGCUGGUCAAUACAGGAAUAACAUCAUUGGCCACGGUGGAAAGGCCUGUGUCUUAUGUCCAUCCAGUUAUUACUGCAGCUCACCAGGAACUCACAUACUCGCCAUCUGCCCUCAGGGCUUUUACUGUCCAGAGGGCACUUCUUCCCCGAAAGCCUGCGCUGAAGGAACCUACGGCUCCCGCUCCGCUCUCGCCGACAGCUCUGAGUGCACUCCCUGUGGCGGAGGCCAGUACUGCGCUGGCGUGGGCCUCUCACAGCCCUCUGGAAGCUGCAGGGAGCGCUUCUACUGCAGGGAGGGCGCCAAGUCUGCAACACCAGCUGAUGGUCCAACAGGAGGACUGUGCCCAGCAGGAAGUUACUGCCCCCCGGCCUCUUCCUCACCCCUGCCCUGCCCUCCUGGAACCUUCAGCAACACCUCUGGCCUCGGGAAAGCCCAGGAGUGCGUCAGCUGUCCGCCAGGAUUCUAUUGUCUAGGCUACAACAGCACCUCACCUUCAGGCGCUUGUUUCGCUGGUUUCUACUGUAACGGAGGGUCGGCUUCCCCCGUUCAGAACGAAGCGGACGCGGGUCAUUUUACCGCGGAGGGGGCGUUCAGGUCGCAGCCGUGUCCUCUUGGCACAUUUCAGCCGGUGGGUAAUAACCUGGGCAGAAUACAGAGGGUGUACUGUUAAAAAUCACUAAUGAGGUGAAGGCAUAUUGAAGGCUAUUCCCAUGUCUCUAAAUCCCCAUCAGCAUCGAGGCUCACAGGCGUGUGUGGAGUGUCAGGGAGGCAGACUGUGUAACCAGACGGGCUUGUCUCAGGCUCCUCUGUGUCCCACGGGACACUACUGUCCUCCAGGGUCUCCUGUUGCUCGGCCCUGCCCCCCAGUUAGUAUCUGCAUGUGCUUGUAAAACGUGUUCUUCUCAUUAAAUUUGCGUAUCUAAUACUGAACGUCAUGCUGUGUGAUUGUUAUCACGAAGGGCUCUUACUCUGACCAGCCCGGUGGUGAAGCUGCGGAGCACUGUCGGCCGUGCGAGGCCGGCUGGUUCUGCAGCCGAGUGGGUCUGUCGGAACCUCAGGCUCCCUGUGACCCUGGACAUUACUGCACCUCAGGCGCCUCCACUGCUUCUCCAGUAAGAAUAAUGGUGUAGCACACACGGUGGUGGCUAAUGUGGACUAGCAUUUUCACAAUACCAUUCAAAUUACACUUUAAAGUCCAUUUAUUAAUUAAACAGAAUGUGAUUUUUUUCUGGGAUUGUAUAACAGAAAAUUAUGACGAUGUCAUGUCAUUAUGUAUGUCCAUUAUAUGUAAUGUAAGUCUAUAGUUUUUGAAAGGCAAGUUGGAGAACACAAGGAUCUUUUCCUUAAGCUCAUUUCUAAAAAACCCUUGACAUUUUGUCUGCUAUGUAGCUGCACAUUAAUUAUGCUUCUAAUUUAUUUUCGCCUAAGUUUGCCAAUCAGAUUUUGUUGGCACGUGACGGUGGAUAGACCAGGAGGCAGGACGAUGGCAAAGGAAAGAAAAACUGUCUGGGUUUUCGGGUUAGAACGUCUCCGCUUCGACUGUGCGGCUGAUUAGAUGACAGCCAUUCAUUUCCCACACACUUCGAAUGCUAAAGUGCUUUCUGUCACUUCUGUGAAUGUGGAUUUCGA